GAAGAAAUUCAACCAAGCGC
rnacentral:snRNA from 1 species